AGCACAUCUUAACUAGAACAGGGACUUUGAAAUGCAGUUUUGCUCUACCACCAGCAAUUAUUUCUGUCCUUAUGGUAUGCUUUAUCAGCUGCAUAUGAAGCAUAAGGAACUCAUGGAAUCUCAGAAAAAGCAAACAUCACAGUAGAUCUUUGUAAGCAAGCUUAAUGCUAUGACGCAAUGGAAAAUACAGCAAUAAUAGCAGGAUGACACAACUCUAGGCUGCAGCAAAUGAGAACAAGCUCAAAAAACAACAGCUAUAAAUGCAGAAACAAAAGAAGAAAAACUGCUUACCUGUAGAAGACCCUCAGUAGACAGGAACCUCCAACAGAAGAUACCUUUACCUCCGCUGCCAACCCUUAAAUGAGGUCUGGGAGGGGAAUGGAUCCUGGCUCCACCCCUUCUCGUCACUCAGGAGCAUUGCAUGCACCUGAGCUCCCCUGGAUUGGCCCUGCCUUCCCACCAGGUGCUCAAUCACCGUUUCAGGUCAUGACAUUUCCACUACAUCAGGUAUGAGUGUUUUGGAGAACUAUCGUUUGAAGAAUGCAGCUGCUUUUCACUGGUUGGUAUCUACAUGUGUAUGGAGUUCUGUGCAGUGGUUGAAUGUGCAGCGCUUCGAGACCUUUCGGUACGUGGGGAGAUUAAGGAACCACAGAGCUUGAGAGAGAGGAGUUUGCAUCUCUUGUGAGAAUUCUGAUAUCCCUGUGUUCAUAUAUGUUGAUAUUCUCUUCUGAAUGGUGACCUGUUUACGUAGGAUGGAGCCUAAAGCUUUGGCAUUAAUAAAUUUUCUGUAGACCCAAAGACCCUGGAUAUCCUUGGACUGAGUUGCUUAAGGACACGUUGCUUUCCAAAGACCCUGAAGAAUGGUGCACUACCAAGGAUUUUUCAGUCCUAGCUACAGAGUGUGAUCCCACCAGGCUCAGCAGCAGGAGAGCAGCAACUGGGCUUACUGGGUGGCCAUCCUCACUCCAGCUCUUGUGGCAUCCCCACAAAAGAUGGCAUCCCCAUCUUCACCCCAGCAUCCGUUGUGGCAGCAAUGGAUCCCAGUCUGUCCUUUGGCCUCAUUCAAGUGACAGCCCUCCAGGAGACCAAGAAGAGCGAGCAGAUGAUGGCAAAAGAGCCCCUAUUUUGUCAUCAUUUGCCUUUUUGCCCCAGGAGCACUUUUCUCUUGAACACUUUUUCUCCAUUACUUUAGAAGCUUUCUAGUCUUGAAAACAAUCUAGUCAUUUUUCUAGUCUUCAGAAGCUGGAUCCUGGUUGCAUUCUU
ensembl:lncRNA